AUAGAUCAUAGUGCCUGGAAUGGCUUAUGGUCCAAACAGUCUACUGCCAUGGGAUGGGACUGCGGCCUAUCAGCUUGUUGGUGAGGUAAUGGCCCACCAAGGCGAUUACAGGUACGGGCUCUGAGAGGAGAAGCCCGGAGAUGGGUACUGAGACACGGACCCAGGCCCUAUGGGGCGCAGCAGGCGAGAAACCUUAGCAAUGUGCGAAAGCACGACUGGGUCAGUCCGAGUGAUUCCUGAUAAAGGAGUCUUUUGCCUGUCCUAAAAACACAGGUGAAUAAGGGGUGGGCAAGUCUGGUGUCAGCCGCCGCGGUAAUACCAGCACCUCGAGUGGUCAGGACGUUUAUUGGGCCUAAAGCAUCCGUAGCCGGCGCUGCAAGUCUUCGGUUAAAUCCACCUGCUCAACAGAUGGGCUGCUGGAGAUACUACAGCGCUAGGGAGUGGGAGAGGCAGACGGUAUUCAGUGGGUAGGGGUAAAAUCCUCUGAUCCAUUGAGGACCACCAGUGGCGAAGGCGGUCUGCCAGAACACGUUCGACGGUGAGGGAUGAAAGCUGGGGGAGCAAACCGGAUUAGAUACCCGGGUAGUCCCAGCUGUAAAC
rnacentral:rRNA from 1 species